AUCACCUCUGGCAAACGCUGUGGAAACAAAUGGAGAACAAGAAGGGCGGGGGGAAAACAGCUCCCCGACACACCCCUCCUCCUGUCUAGACCCCGCCCCCAGACAGAAGGAACCGGGCAGCAAGAAUGGCUGACGCGACCGGCGCCAUCUCUUACGUGGGCGGAACCAGUCGCCUCUGGACGCGCCGCGGUUUCCUAAUGGGACACCGUAGGUUUCGUCGGGGAGUUUUUGGUUUGCGUGGGCGGCCGUGUACUGGGCGCCUGAAAAAGCGUGGGCCGACGUGCGGGUCUUCUUUGCUCAAGACCUGCUAUUUAAAGAUGCUCGCGAACCUUUAAGGUAGAUGCAUAGUGCAGUUUUUAAUAGGAAAAACUGCCGGCUCCUGGGGAAGCGGAGCAGAGUUGGUUGUAAACGGUUUUAAUUGUAUGUGCUCCUGAAUCUGUAAGGCAUUACACUUAGAAAGUAUGUGAAGUAUUUCACCAACGGGGUUUUUCGCCACGACAAAGUUAGCUAUGACUCCUCCUCAAAGCCUGUUAGGUGACCGUCCCACUUGUGGUCUUCAGUACCUGUGAGCAGUUUCUCAGGCUCCUUUGAGAGUCACGUUUCACCUGAUUGGACAAUGUGCAUAAAUUCCCUUAAUCUGGGGGAAUUGUAACCAUUACGUUUGAUAACGCUUUAUGAGAUAUUUUUUGGUCUACAACGUGCACAUUCCAGUGUUUCAUUAUGGGUUCCAAGGUGGCCGCAGAGCCAGUGUGUGAAGCGGUGGGAGUUUUUCAUCUCAGCAUAAGAAACUGGCAGUCAGAGCUUCAAGGUGACGGCGAUGGUCCAGCUCCCGUAGGAGAGCAUUCAAGGGUGACUGGAGGAAGAGGCCCUUUCAUUCAGAUGGCAUCUGAAAACUUUUUUUUUCUUCUUUUGUGGUACUGGGAAUUGAACCCAGGGCUUUCUUUUAGCCCCUUUUUAAAUGUAUUUUGAGACAGGGUCCCACUAAGUCACUAAGCUGCCCGAGCUAGGCUCAAACUCGUGUUCCUUCUCCCUCAGCCUUUCACGGUACCACUACACCAGCUUUAAAGCUUCCAAGUCUUUCUGUACUUCCUCCUUACGGCACUUGCCCUUCCCUUACUCCCUCCCCAGUAGACGUCAUAGAGUCUGCAGGCAGAGACAUCUGAAAAUGACCAGACCCCCACACUUGACUAAUGGUCACCAUUAGGAUACGUAUGAGACUGUUCUUUCUUAUCAUUCAUUAUCUGGGCUGUAGAAUUCUUGUGAUAGUAUUUGGAAAUUUGAAUAUAGUAAUUAUAUAAGAGCCUUCUAAUAUGGUGAAGGAUUUAAAUAACUCACUUUGGAUUUUUCUUCCUUAACAUGAGCUUUCACCCCAAGUGUCCUUUACUGAAAUAUUUUCAAGAGUCCCUUUUUGACUGUUGAGGAACAGAAGAACUCCUGCCUAGCUUUCCUUGCAUUCCUCUGCUAUCAACAGUCUGUUCUCCGGCCUCACAGUGCAUCUUCUCCUCCCUCCCUUCCCCUGCUGCCUUCUCCUUUGAGCUUCAUUCCAUCAGCCUAGUCCCCAUAUUUUACUUUUUUUUUUUUCUGCUGCUCCAAGACAGAAAGACUUGUUCAAGGUCUGUGUCUUCUCUUGGGCCUACUUGAGUCUACACUCUACUGAGGCUUCACUGCCGUAAAGGUACAAUCCUGAAGUCAUGCUAUCCAACAGAAAUAAAAUGCAAACUGCAUAUCUAAUUGCAUAUUCUUCUAAAAACAGUUUUGAUCAUAUAGUUGAUUUAAUAUAGCCGUAAUAUUAUCAUUUAUAUAUGAAAUCAACUAAAAAUGAUUGAUGGCAGUUUGGGUUCUUUCCUGGUCGUAGAAGUCUGGUGUACACUUUGUAUCUGUCACACAUCCCCACGUCCUCUGUGGGCGAGUCACUGUUGUACGGAACGGUGACUGCACAUUCUCUUGCUCUCAAACAUGCACUUGUUUAUUUCAUAGCUUUUUACUGAAGCCAAAUUACAAAUAAGUCCUUGGCACUGGAAGUCGCAUUUGGUAUUUCUGUGUCUUAACUGUUCGUUCCUGAGACUGCAGUAUUGCCUCUUGAUAGAUUGGAAUCAUUAAUUCUUCCUGUAAACUCUUCAACGCAGCACACUUACUGCCACUACAAUAUCUCUAUGCCUGAAAUUUCCUUCCUGCUUCCCAUAUUUAUAUUAUGAUUCAAUAACCACAUAAUGUCUGUUUUGUUAGAUUUGAACCUUAAUAUGUUGUAUAGGAUUAUAAGAAAUAAAUGUAUAUUAUUUAUAGUGCUGUUGCACUAGAGAGAAUUAUUUUGAGUACAGUAUUCGC
rnacentral:lncRNA from 1 species